CCACUCUUCACUCCUGCAGUCUGGGAGUGUGUCACCACCCGCAGCUCAGCGAGCUGGCCAGGAAUAUGUUAUACUCCUUUUACUCCCGCUGUUUGGCAGGUCCCAAGUUCUUGUUUCGCAUCCAGGAAGAAUGAGGUUAUGUGGAUAACUGGAGGAGACAGGGUCUUGCUCAGCUGCACAGCCCAGAGUACAGUGGAGUGAUCAUAGCUCACUGCCGUCUCCAACUCCUGGACUUAAAUGAUUCUCCCUUCUCAGACUCCUGAGUAGCUGGUACUGGUCUCACUGUCGCCCAGGCUGAAGUGCAGUGGCGUGAUCACGGCUCAUGGCAGCCUCAACCUCUCCAACCUCUCGGGCUCAAGCGAUACUUCCACCUCCACCUCCUGCGUAGCUGGGACUACAGGCACGUAACACUAUGCCCAGCUAAUACAUAAAUCAUACCUCCUCUGCUAGUCUCCUGAAUGUUGGGUCAGAGAGAAGACCUUAGGAGGCCCAGAUGCUUCACACUGUAAACUGCAGUGGUAUGAGGAACACUAGUUUUAUGAAUGUGAUGAAAAAGUGAUCAGGAUCUAAAUGAAGAUGGUCAGUUGCAGUGGGAAUGGAAAGGAGGGAUGAAUGUUAAAGACCCAUGAAAAGAGCCAGUCAGAAUCCUUGGAGGCUGAUCACAUCUGGAAUGUGGGUGGAAGGAGGAGGAAUCAAUUUUAACACUGAGGCUGAGCACGGUGGCUCAUGCCUGUAAUUCUAGCACUCUGGGAGGAUGACAUGGGCGGAUUGCUUGAGCCCAGGGGGCUGAGACCAGCCUGGACAACAUGGCAAAACCCCAUCUCUACAAAAGUUUAAAAAACUAGCCAAUUAGCUGGGUGUCCCUGCUACUCAGGAGGCUGAGGUGGGAGGAUCACUUGAUGGAGCCCAGGAGGUCGAGGCUGCAGUGAGCCGAGAUUGCGCCACUGCACUACAGCCUGGGCAACAUAGUGAGACUCUGUCUCAAAAAAAAAAAAAAAUUGCCGGGCCUGGUGGCUCAUGCCUAUAAUCCCAGCAGUUUGGGAGGCCGAGGCGGGCGGAUCACAAGGUCAGGGGUUUGAGACCAGUCUGACCAAUAUGGUGAAACCCUGUCUUUGCUAAAAAUACAAAAAUUAGCCAGGUGUGGUGGCGGUGUAGUCCCAGCUACUCAGGAGACUGAGGCAGGAGAAUCCUUGAACUUGGGAGGCAGAGGUUGCAGUGAGCCAAGAUCACGCCACUGCACUCCAGCCUGGGUGACAGAGAGAGACACUGUCUCAAAAAAAGAAAAAAAAAAUUAACACUGGGUAUCCAGAGAGAUUGUUAGUAAUAAGAGGGGCAGAGUUGGGGUUGCUGCUUGUGGAGGAGAUCUCACUGUUUGGCUACUCAGCAACUGAACUCCUUCCCUAUGUUUGGGGAAAUCUGACAUUCUAUGGACUUCAGUGGGAGAAUCUCAUCACAACAGAUGAUUUAAAGGCCAGAUAUUGUCUUUGAUUCUUGUCUGCUAUGAUGUGGGCUUGUGACAUAAAUUCAAGUAUUAUCAGAGUUUACAUCGGGAGCAAGUGACACAAACCAGCAGGAACUGUUCAGGCUCUGUCCUGGUGUAUGCGUCAUCCAGAGCUGCAUUCCUGAUGGUGGUUCCAGUGCUGGAAUUAUUCCCUCCACUGCCCACACUUCCUUGGUUCCUGGACAUUUUCUGAUGGUUCUCCCAUCUUCCUGACAACUCUUGAGUUGCCUGAUGUCCUUUCAGUAAAUUCCUUUUCUAUUGAAAUAGCUAGAACUGGUUUCAUUUUUUUGUAGCCAAAACCCUAACUAGUACAAGGUGCACUUGAAAUGAGUUCAUUCCAGGAGCCUUGAAUUUCUCUGUUUUUUUUUUUUUUUUUUUUUUUUUUUUUUUCUGAGACAGAGUCUCUCUCUGUCACCCAGGCUGCAGUGCAGUGGCGUGAUCUUGGCUCAGUGUAACCUCCACCUCCCAGGUUCAAGCAGUUCUCCUGCCUCAGCCUCCAACGUACCUGGCAUUACAGGAGUAGACCAUUACACCCAGCUAAUUUUUAUAUUUUUAGUAGAGACAGGGUUUUGUCAUGUUGGCCAGGCUGCUCUCGACCUCCUGACCUCAGGUGAUCUGCCUGCCUCUGCCUCUUAAAGUGCUGGGAUUACAGGCGUGAGCCACCACGCCCGGCCUGUCUAGUCUCUCUCUUUUUUUUUUUUUGAGACAGAGUCUCACUCUGUCGCCCAGGCUGGAGUGUAGUGGCACGAUCUCGGCUCACUGAAACCUCUGCCUUCUGGGUUUAAGCAAUUCUCCUGCCUCAGCCUCCCGAGUAGCUGGGAUUACAAGCACCCGCCACUGUGCCUGGCUAAUUUUGUAUUUUUAGUAGAGAUGGAGUUUCACCAUCUUGGCCAGACUGGUCUUGAACUCCUGAACUCGUGAUCCACCCACCUCAGCCUCCCAAAGUGCUGGGAUUACAGGCAUGAACAACCGUGCCCAGCCUCUCUGUUCUCUUUAGGUGAGCUCUGUUGUGGUUCUGUUUCCAAUUGUCAGAGGAUCACAAAAUCCUGAGAGUUAGGGUCGACUCCCAGGUCACCUGCUCCAAUUUACCACCCAGUACCAACAUACCCUUUAUGACAUUCUGUGAUGCUCCCCCCUAACCUCUAUCUGAACCACUCCAGUGACAGCAACUCGCUUCUUUGCCAGCUGAUCUACUUCACGGUCAGGAAGCUUUUGGUAACUUCUACCCAUGUGCUUCCAGUUUUUUAAAACCUUUUUUUUUUUUGUAUUUUUAUUGAAUUUACAAAAAUGUCUGUCCAGUUAUGACAGUAAAAUGGGAAACCACAAUGACAAACGGUGGCAUGAAAAACAACACACACCCAUCAGGAAUUAUAUCAAACACUUUCCUUUUUAUUCAUUCAGAAGGGAAUCCAAUGCACAAAUGUCAAAUGUGAGCAUUGUCAUUUUUUUUGUUGUUCUAAGAAGGGAGAAAGACACUUAUUCUGGCAGCUGCUUCUAGUUCUUUUCUAUGGAAAACUGUCCUAUUUUGUAUUAUAUUUAAUUAAUAAAUUUUCAAGGUUUUUUUUUUUUUUUUUUUUUUUUUUUUUUUUGAGAUGGAGUCUCAUUCUGUCACCCAGGCUACAGUGCAGUGGCACAAUCUUGGCUUACUGCAACCUCCACUUCCUGGGUUCAAGCAAUCCUCCUGCCUCAGCCUCCCCAGUAGCUGGGAUUACAGGUGUAUGCCACCACACUUGGCUAAUUUUUGUGUUUUUAGUAGAGAUGGGGUUUCAUCAUGUUGGCUAGGCUGGUCUUGAACUCCUGACCUCAGGUGAUCCGCCUGCUUCAGCCUCCCAAAGUGCUGGGAUUCCAGGCAUGAACCACCAUGCCUGACCUCUUCAUGCCUUUUGAAAGUGAAGUAAAUGUACUAAAUCAAUGAAAAUGACUGCAUUUUCAGACACCGGAGUGUGAGGUGAUGUGGACCAUCCAUGGAAAGAGAGCCUGCAGCACAGGUGGGCAUGGGAUGACAACACAGAGGUUAAGGGUUGAAGGUAGUGACAUUUUUGAAAAAUAAGUGAUGCAGAAUAACUCUCAGAAGGGGUGUAAACCCUGCCGGGCACAUCAGACAUUGGGAUCAGCAAUGGGAUGAGAAUAAGGAAUAGGCUGAGGAUGAGAAAUGGAGUGAGAGUGAGAGGUAAGGCGAAGGAGUGGGAAAGGAAUGGGAAAGACAGCCAAGGAUGAAAUAAUGAUCCUCUGCCAUUGACUUGGCUAUUUUGACAGACUUUAUAAAAUGGCUGUGUUGAACUCUGUAUCAUACAGAGCAGUCCUCAAUCAGAAGGCACUGAGGGAGAGAGAGGAUGUAUGGUCAGAAAGUGAUGUGAUUAGACCGGGCGCAGUGGCUCACGCCUGUAAUCCCAGCACUUUGGGAGGCCGAGGCAGGUGGAUCACGAGGUCAGGAGAUUGAGACCAUCCAGAUUAACACGGUGAAACCCCCUCUCUACUAAAAAUACAAAAAAUCAGCCGGGUGUGGUGGCGGGCGCCUGUAGUCCCAGCUACUCAGGAGGCUGAGGCAGGAGAAUGGCGUGAACCUGGGAGGUGGAGCUUGCAGUGAGCCGAGAUCGCGCCACUGCACUCCAGCCUGGGCGACAGAGUGAGACUGCUUCUCAAAAAAAAAAAAAAAAAAAAGAAAGUGUUGUGAUUAGAGCCACAGAGGUGAACGGUUGAGAGAGUUUUAGGAAGAAAAGGGUGUUUAGCAGGGCCAAGAGCUUUCAAAAAGCCAAGAAGCCAAGCGUGGUGACUUAUGCCUAUAAUCCCAGCACUUUGGAAGGCCUAGGCGGGAGGAUCACUUGAGCCCAGGAGUUUGGAGGCUCAGUGAGCUAUGAUUGUGCCAUUGCACUCCAGCCUGAGCAACAGAGUGAGACCCUGUUUCAAAAACAAAACAGAAAACCAAAAAGCCAAGGAGCAUGGUGAUGAGAAAAGGCUAUUGGAUCUAUUAAUAGCAAUGUUGGCACCUGGAGACCUGAGAGUUGAGAUCUGUGCAGUGCAGUGCUGGCCCCAUAGCCGAGAAGCUGAUGAGUACGUGGUGAGGAACAGAGGAGAAUGGCUAGAACAAUGAAGAUGGAGAGAAGCAGCCCCUGGAGAAGUAGGGGCCGAAGGAGUACCUGUGUUACCAGUUGAGGGUAACCAGUACUGGUUGAGGGUAACAGGUUGAGGUAACCUGACUGAAUUGUCCAGGUUCUUGGCAUUUUGAACAAAGAAUUGGACAAAAUGCACAAAGAAAGCAACGAGAGAAGAAGCAAAACAGAAGUACAGAUUUAUUGAAACAAAAGUACACUCCACAGAGUGGGAGUAGGCUCGAGCAAGCAGCAAGAGCCCUGGUUACAGAAUUUUCUGGGGUUUAAAUAUGCUCUAGAGGUUUCCCAUUGGUUACUUGGUUACACCCUAUGUAAAUGAAACCUGCCCCACGACCAGUCAGAUUGGUUGUGGGAGGGGACCAAUCAGAGGUACUUUCCAUUUUUCAUCUGUGAGGCAGUGGAAAGGGGGGGUUGCAAAGGGAGUAGCUUCUGAUCCUUUCCUUACUUGGGCGUGGAGAGGUGGGGUUUUCGUUUUGAUUCAGUUCUAGGAAGGCAGCGCAAAUUGGCCUUAGGUUCUUGUCUCCUGCCUCCUGCCUCAGCUGGGCACGUUUGUACAGGAGGAGGAGAGCCUUAGCAGCCACUCAGAUAAACACCUGAAGCAGAAUAUACUUGAGGUAGGGAGGAAAGAUGAGGGACACAUGCAAUAUUAAUCAAUAUAAAACAAAUAUUAGCUUCUUGUCAGUUGUAACCUAAGCUGAGAGGUCUUGAGGAUAUCUAGAAAACUGGGGUCAAAUGUCCUUUGCUGACACGGGGCCCCCUGCUGGGAAACCUGCUGGCCUCAGUGUUUCAAAAGGAAGUGAGGGAGCUCUAUAAAGAAAAUGAAGGACACAGUGAUCUGAGGUGAUUGUGCACAUCUAGGCCCUGCGGCCUGCCUCUUGCACUGCUGGCACUGCUGGCACUGCUGGCACUGCUGGUGGUGUGUGGCUCCAUCGGGCCUAAUGCAAUUGAGGUUUUUUUUUUUUUUUUUUUUGAGACAGAGUCUCGCUCUGUCCCCCAGGCUGGAGUGUAGUGGUACCAUCUCAGCUCACUGCAAACUCUGCCUCCCGGGUUCAAGCGAUUCUCCUGCCUAAGCCUCCGCUUCCCAAGUAGCUAGGAUUAUAGGCAUGUUCCAUCACACCUGGCUGAUUUUUGUAUUUUUAGUAGAGACAGAGUUUCACCAUGUUGGCCACGCUGGUCUCGAACUCCUGACCUCAGGUGAUCCACCUGCCUUGGCCUCUCAAAGUGCUGGGAUUACAGGCGUGAGCCACCACACCUGGCCAUGCAGUUGAGUUUUCAUGCUGUCUUAGGAACUAACAGAGAAGGUAAUGUUAUUUUUGUCAGCAGAGGCACCACUGGCCAGAAACAAAAAGAAUCUAGAAUGUACACAUGUAUGGAGGUGGUGGUGGUGAAGUGUUAAGGUAAUCAAAUAAUCAAAAACAAUUUCCAUUGACCCUUGGAAUGAAUCUUGACAUUCUCACUUGCAAAGGGGUAAGUUAUGAUCUGAGAAUUUACUUCACACCAAAUCAGGAAGCUAUGCAGGGAAGAUUCAAUGUGGAGGUUUCCUUAUCCCAAGCCUGUCCUGUAAUUCUCUCUACUGUCACCUGUCCAGGAAUUUAGCAGCUGAAAAGGAGUUAUCCAAGGCAUAAUUUGGAGAGAAUAAGAGGUAGGUAGAGGUAGUAUUAGUUUUCUGAUUUUAAUUUUGGUCUUUAAGAUUAGGUAUUAUGCUAAAUACAUAUUUUCUAAAAUUUGCAUUUCUCUUUCUAUGGUUUCCUGUAGCUUGAGAUGGUUCCAAAAUGGACAGUGUGGCUCUAUACUGAAUGUAAUCCAGAGUGACAGACCAGAUGGUUAUAGACUAGAUGGAUGUGGAUGAGGGAAUCUGAUCCACUUUAGAUCUGGGCAUCUCCAGGAUCUGGUUAUGCUGAAGCCUGUUUCUCUCUUAUUGGGAUAUCUGAGGGAAGAAUUUAAAAAUUCUUAGAAGGGCUGGGUGCAGUUGCUGACGCCUGUAAUCCCAGCACUUUGGGAGGCCGAGGCAGGUGGAUCACCUGAGGUCAGGAGUUCGAGACCAGCCUGGCCAACAUGACAAAACCCUAUAUCUACUAAGAAAAUACAAAAAUUAGCCAGGCAUGGUGGUGCAUGCCUGUAAUCUCAGCUACUUGGGAGGCUGAGGCAGGAGAAUUGCUUAAACCCAGGAGGUGGAGGUUGCAGUGAGCUGAGAUUGUGCCACUGCACUCCAUCCUGGGCGACACAGCAAGACUCUGUCUAAAAACAAAAAAUUGUUAGAAGGCUGGGCGUGGUGGCUCACGCCUGUAAUCCCAGCACCUUUGGAGGCUGAGGCAGGAGAAUCGCUUGAGACCAGGAGUUUGAGAUCAGCGUGGGCAACAUAGUGAGACCAGGUGUGAUGGCACGUGCCUGUAGUCCCAGCUACUUGGGAGGCUGAAGUGGGAGGAUCGCUUGAGGAGGUCGAGGCUGCAGGGAGCUGUGAUUGUGCCACUACACUCCAGCCUGGGUGACAGAAUGAGACCUUGUUUCAAAAAUAAAUAAAAAUUGUUAGAUACUCACGGGGACUACAUGGUGAAAUGGGCCCAUAGACUGUUCUUUUGGAUAAACGUAGACAUUGAUCCUUCUGCUGUUAAAGCUUGAAACUUGUAUUUGUUUUAUCUAAGUUCCUUUCUCAGGAAAGGACCUUCAGGCCCCUAAAAAAUGGGAUCAGAGAACUGAAACUUACCAGAUGGGGGCACCAGAUGCCCCCUUGCCCCUCCCUAGUUCUUAUUUUGUUACACAUUGUUACAUUUCUUCCUUGCUAUGUAAACCCCUAGCUUUAGUCGAUCAGGGAGAUGGAUUUGAGACUGAGCUCCCAUCUUCUCUGCAGCACCUGAUUAAAGCCUUCUUCCUUGAAAAUACUUAUCUCAGAGAUUGGCUUUCUGUGCGGUGAGCAGCAGGACCUAGACCAAACGCCUGGUGUUUCGGGAACAAUGGGAUGACUUUCUUCUUAGAAUUCAGAGAUAAAUACAUUUUCCUUCUUUUUUCUUCCUCCUUUGCUCUGGAUUUUUAUUACUUCUUUCUUCUGGGAGCCAUUAAAGUCCUUUGGUUUUUGGCUUUUCUGCAGCAUUGCUUUACUUAAUCAACAGGGCAUUCUAACACCCUAAGAACAAGAGUGGGGUGGUUUGAAACUUAGUUGAGAAGAGGCUACAGUCACAGAAGAGCUGAAAGAGAGCAGAUAUACCCCAAAGCAGCGGGGGGAGGGCAGCCUGGGUAAGACUCCCAUUCUCAGGUCCCACCUGGGGCAGGGCCCAGGAAGCUAUAAACUCAGGAACUUAUCUGUGCAAGCUGAGUUUGAAUUCUUUUUCUUUUUUAAUAGAUGAGGGACCCGAGGCUUGGUGAGGGUUAGUGGUCUAAGAUGACAUGGUGAAUUGGGGGCGGGGAUGGGGCCAGAGUGCAGUGUUGUGAUUCUGACCAUAUGCCUUCCCCUUAAGUUCACUGGGCAUUGGUGGAUUACAUGCUUAUGCCCCUUUGCCAUGGUUUUAAAUGAAUAUGUGUGCUUUUAGUACUUUGUCCACAUUUUAGGCAGAAAAUAAAAUCUUUUUAGAAUCUUUAUUUAUUUUUAUUGAGAUGGGGUCUCAUUCUGUCACCCAGGCUAGAGUACAGUGGCACAGUCAUGGCUCACUGCAGCCUCGACCUCCUACUUUUUAUCUACUUUACCUCCUACUGACUCCCAUGCUUUCUCUGGAAGUCCUGAACCACCAUGCAAAUAAACUUGUUUUUCUUUUUUUUUUUUUGAGACGGAGUCUUGCUCUGUCGCCUAGGCUGGAGUGCAGUGGCGCGAUCUCGGCUCACUGCAAGCUCCGCCUCCCAGGUUCACGCCAUUCUCCUGCCUCAGUCUCCUGAGUAGCUGGGACUACAGGCACCCGCCACCACACCCAGCUAAUUUUUUGUAUUUGUAGUAGAGACGGGGUUUCACCGCGUUAGCCAGAUGGUCUCGAUCUCCUGACCUUGUGAUCCGCCCACCUCGGCCUCCCGAAGUGCUGGGAUUACAGGCGUCAGUCACUGUGCCCGGCCAUAAACUUGUUUUUCUUAAUAUCUGUGCAAGUCUAGAGACAUGAAACUCACAGAUUGCCUCAUCAUGGAGCUGUCAUACCAGAGAUCUGCAUCUUGUUUAUUUACUGAUAGGACAGAUACGUUUGAAAUCACCAGCAUCGCUCUGGGAUAGGUGGAGGGAGGAGGCUGCGGCUGCUUCUCGGCACCUCACGGCCCACCUCCAAGGCCCUGGGACACACUCAGAGCAGUGACAUUCUGAUAUGUGACAGCAAGGUGGGAGCCGGACUCAAAACAGGUCAGAACCUUCCCAUUCAUCUGUCACCCAGUCAGGCCCCCCUGAAUGGUGGCCAGAUUGCUGAAAAGAGACUAAAACGAAAGGCACUUUGUACAUCUGAUGCAACAGGUGUUUUAUAGCACAAUAUGCUUCUCCUCCCCAACAGACUUUUCGUGAGUAUGUGGAGGGGGAGGGUGUCUUUAUAGGUAAGGAAGUGUAACUUUAAUGGGUAGGGAGCAAUUAACAUUUAUUUGGUGAUUUAUAUUCUUUUUUUUUUUUUUAAUUGAGACAGAGUUUCGCUCUUGUUGCCCAGGCUGGAGUGCAAUGGCAUGAUCUUGGCUCACUGCAACCUCUACCUCCUGGGUUCAAGCGAUUCUCCUGCCUCAGCCUCCUGAGUAGCUGGGAUUACAGGCAUGCGCUACCAGGCCUGGCUAAUUUUGUAUUUUUAGUAGAGACAGGGUUUCUCUAUGUUGGUCAGGCUGGUCUCGAACUCCUGACCUCAACUGAUCUGCCCGCCUCGGCCUCCCAAAGUGCUGGGGAUUACAGGCAUGAGCCACCAUGCCCAGCCCUUGGUGAUUUACAUUCUGUAUCUAAACCCUUUGCCUUUGGAAAAGCCAAAGGGCAGCUUCCAUUACAUUCUAGAAUGAUGUUCACCUUGGUCCGUCCCAGGUGUGAGGGGAUGGAGAGGUUCCUGUAGUUGGCCCAAUCUCAGGCAAUGUCCAGCUCAACUUAGUUUCUCUCCAGCCCUCUGCCAUUCUGGAUAUUCCUUCCAUAGGAUUGAAUGGGUCUGAACCUGCCAGUUACUCAGUCCUGGGAAGGAGCCUAUGGCAGAGGGCUGCUGCGCCUUUCUGAAGCAGUAAGGGCAGCCCUGGCUGGAGACAUUUUACAUGGAUUCCAGUGAGACUUGGCCUCCUGCUGCAUCCUGCAAAGUCUGCUCCCGCCCAGGGAAGCGGCUCAGCUAGAAUGCAGAAGGGAAAGGUGCAUACCACACGUGCCUCCCAUGCACCCAAUCUAGGGUGCUGUUUGGUGACUCACGGUGAUGCAGAGGAGACCGAUGUCACAGUGCAUCCUGCCGGGUAUCUUUUUUUUUUUUGAGACAUAAUCUCGCUCUGUCACCCAGGCUGGAGUGCAGUGGCGCGAUCUAGGCUCACUGGAAGCUCUGCCUACCAGGUUCAUGCUAUUCUCCUGCCUCAGCCUCCAGAGUAGCUGAGACUACAGGCAUCUGCCACCAUACCCAACUAAUUUUUUUUGUAUUUUUAGUAGAGAUGGGGUUUCACUGUGUUAGCCAGGAUGGUCUCGAUCUUCUGAUCUCGUGAUCCGCCCACCUCAGCCUUCCAAAGUGCUGGGAUUAUAGGCCUGAGCCACUGUGCCCGGCCUAUGCUGGGUGUCUUUAGAAGGCAAAGCACACUCAGGGGUAGAGGAAGACCCUGGGGGUAAGGAGUACAUGUCAUGCUGAAAAGAAGAAAAUAUUCUCUUGGUAUACAUGUCAGUAUGGGAUAAACUGACACCGCAUGGAUAGACGGACGUGCGGGAAGUACAGAUGCUGGCAUGUCCUGCCUGGGGCCAGCUGAGUGUUCCCUGUCACGGCCUUGCUUACUCUUCCUCUGAGGUUACAGUUCCUAGUGAGCCAUGGAGAAGAGGGUCUUUUACACUGAGCCCUCACUGUUUAUGGCAACUGCCUCGAACAGUCAUUGAUUUCAAGCUUGCCUACAGGCAGAAUGUAUCCCAGAAAGCCAAGGAUUUUGUUAAUGUUUACAGGCCUUUGUAGAUCCCCACAGGAAAGCUGAAAUAGUAAUCCUGAAAAUGACAGUAGGGGUGACCCCUUACCCACUCUGGGGCUCAAACCUAUGGCUCAGGAGGCUUUUGGUGGCUGCCACAGAAUUAAGAAUAAAAUGGGAAAGGUCAAGUUUAAAAGUCAGAAUAUAUUUCACUGAAAAUAUGUGUAUGUGUGUGCCUUCAAGAGUGAGUGCUCCUCAAGGGAGACUCACACAGUUCCUUACAACAUAAAUAAGAAAUAGACGUAAUGGCUUCACUCAGUAGAAAACUAGCAGCAUCAUUCUGGGCCAUGGGGCAUUCCCCAGGGGUCACCAUCCAGCAGCCUCUCCCUGGGGGCAGAGGACGCCUGGUCAGAACAGCUAUAACUCAUCCAUCAUGGCGAGCAAAUCGUCCCCUUUGCUGGUGCUCAGCCUUGGCUGCUCCGUGAUCUCAAACUCCCCCAUGAUUCGAGCCAGCUCCUCGCUCCGUUGCUGGUCCUAUGAGGGAAAUGAGAGGUAAAAGGGCAUGAAGAGGCUGUGCUGGCAGGCCGCCUCUUUGUGCACUAGGCACUUAGUUUUUUGUCCCAUGACUGAUAUGUUUCAGUUGCGCACCUGUUUGUCAGAAAAGGGAUUGUAGUUACAGGCUGAUCAGAGAGAAGAAGAGGGUCUAUAUAUUUUUUUUCUUAAUCAACAUGUAUGUGACCAAGCAUCCCUGGCUGCUACAGAAUAGCAGAUGGGUAUAGUUAAGAAACAACUUUAAUUUGAGCAGGGGGAAUGACAAUACAGCACUUAACAGCUAUAUUGUAGUCUGAAUCCUGCUUGAAAAAGAGGGUCUCUGAAGUUCAACGUUAUAUAAGAUGAGGAAAGGAGGAAGGGAGGCUGGGUACGGUGGCUCACCUUUGUAAUCCCAGCACUUUGGGAGGCCAAGGCGGGUGGAUCACUUGAGGUCAGGAGUUUAAGACCAGCCUGGCCAACUUGGUGAAAUCCCACCUCUACUAAAAAUACAAAAAAAAAAAAAAAAUUAGCUGGGCAUAUUGGCGGGCACCUGUAAUCCCAACUACUCGGCAGGCUGAGGCAUGAGAAUUGCUUAAACCUGGGAGGUGGAAGUUGCGGUAAGCUGAGAUCAAGCCACUGCACUUCACCUGGGUGACAGAGCGAGACCCUGUCUCAAGAAAAAAAAAAAAAGAUGAGGAAGCGAAUACGAUUGGACCCUGUGUUAUCCCCUGUACGUACCUGGGUGGCUUGUAUGUUGAUAACUUCAUAGGAUAACUCUUCUGGCCUGGUUAGCGCUGCUUGUCUGGAUGAGAUGGUAAAGAAAAUGGGUGCAACAUUAGGGUUCUUUCCCUGCCAGCAUGGCAAACUGGCUCUUGAUCAGUUGGCAACCUAUUUUUUCUGCCUCAUCUGCCAUUUCUCUUAAACUUUCUACCCCAUCUCCCACCAAUGUACCCUACGACCUAGAAAGUCAAGUUCUUUUAUCUCUCUGUGACUUUGCACAUUAUAAGCCCUGCCAAGAAUGUUUCUUCCCUUCCUCUGCUUGGCAAACUCCAAGACCUAGAUCAAAUGCCAGCUCCUUCAAUCUGCCAGUGCAAAGUCAGUCACUGUCCUCAAUUAGCGCAUUCAUGACACAGCACUGAAAUAACUUAUAUCUGUACACGUUCACUCUCCCACUAAGCUGAGAGCUUCCUGAGGACAGGCUCUAGGUCUUACAUCUUUGCAUUCCCAGGACUUUACAUAGUACCUGUCACACAGAAUUAAACAAAAGAAGUUAUUAAUAGUUCAAUGAAAGGUGACACUCACGCCAAAUACUUGGUUUUGAGGAGGAUCACAUGAGAUAAUGCAUGCAAAAGUGCUCUGUAAACUGUAAAGCACUAUAAAUCACCGUGGGUGAUUUACUAUUGCUGUUGGUUUUGGGUUAUACUGUCUAAUACAGGGAAAUCAAGCUCCAACCUCACUCUGGUUUCUUAACACACUGUCUUAAUCUGGUCAUCCUGGCUUCUAACACUGCUUAUUCAGCUGUUCUCUGAUAAGUAAAACAUUAUAACUCUUUUUUUGUUUUGUUUAUUAUCAUUUUUUAGAGACAGGGUGUUGCUCUCUCUCCUAGGCUGGAAUGCAGUGGCAUGAUCACAGCUUGCUUAACCUUAAAUUCCUGGGCUCAGACGAUCCUUCUGCCUCAACCUCGUGGGUAGCUGGGACUACAGGUGCGCACCAUCACACCGUCUCUUUUUUUUUUUUUUUUGAGACAGAGUCUUGCUGUGUCUCCCAGACUGGAGUGCAAUGGUGCAGUCUUGGCUCACUGCAACCUCUGCCUCCCGGGUUCAAGUGAUUUUCCUGCCUCAGCCUCCCGAGUAGCUGGGACUACAGGUGCGUGCCACCACACCCAGCUAAUUUUUUUUUUUUUUUUGUAGAGACGGGGUUUCACCAUGUUAGCCAGGAUGGCCUCGACCUCCUGACCUUGUGAUCCGCCUGCCUUGGCCUCCCAAAGUGCUGGGACUACGGGCGUGAGCCACUGCACCCGGCCCCAUCUCUUUUUUUGAAUGACUCUGGAAGAUUCAGGCCAUUUCAUCCUGGUGGGCUAUUUAGAUUAUUAAAUUUGUUGGUAUUUUAUUUGUGAUAUUUACACAAAUAUUUAUAAGUGCCACUGGUUUGUAAUAGUCAUUUUGUGUUCUUGUCAUGCUUGGGAUUUUUAUAUGUCUUUAACGAAACAGGUUUAAAACAUACUCCUCUUCUUCAUCGGUGGUAAAGAGAUUCAACCGGAAUCCGGGCUCAGGGCCACUGGGUUUCUUAAUCUCCAUCCCUCCCAUCAGCCUGGCCAAGAAAUUCAGCUCUUCUUUAGCAAGAGGGUUUGGAGCAAUGCUUUCCUGCAGAAACAGUUGCAUGAUUUUUAGCCACAUGAAGGCAAUCACAUUUCCUGCUAAAACCUCAGAGACACAGGUAGGUAUUAUAAAAUAAGGUAGAACAAUUGCUAUUUAAAUUAUUUCUGGGUCCAAAUAAAGUGUAGAAAGCAGCCUUAACCAAAAGAAAAACAAUCACGUCAGUAGCAGAGGGAAUGUAGCAACUUUGCAAACCAGAGAUUUUCAUACUUUCCGCAAGAGUGGAAGCCCCAGGGAUCCACGUUUCUCCUCUCACUACCUUCCUCCUUGAAGAAGUGUAUGGCUUCCUUUCCUGUCAAUCGGUUUCCCUCAGCAUUUACAAGUCGCCUCAGUCCAGUCUCCUUCCAGAGGCGCUGCCACACUGCCCUCAGGUGGUGACGGCCGGGAACACACCCUCGAGUCCAUUCCCUCCUCUCACAGUCCUCAUCCUGCCUCAUCCUGUACCCCUCUUCCUUGUAGCCUGGCCUCCCCUGUUCUGCCUCUCCCCUCACUCCACCACCAGUUACCUAAAUGCAGUUUUUGUCUCAUUUCUCCCUGGCUUGAAACAAAGCCCUCUGCCUCCUGUCGAAAGAACAAAGCCCAAAUUGUUUACCACCCUUCCUGGUCAGGCCCCAGGGUCCUGUCCAGGCGAGUCUCUGCCAGCAAGCCUCCAUGAUACUGUGAUCCGUUACGUAAGCCUCGUGGGAGACACCGCCAUCCUCCUCCCGGGAACACUCUUGCCCCUCUGUCACCUUGGUCCGUGUGCCCAUUUCUCCCUCUCUGCUGUUUCAUAGUUUACCUACUCUAGAGCCCCACUUCAAUAUCCCCGCCUCUGAAAUGCCUUCUUGAUCCCUGUGAUCCCUGUCCACUGGACAGACAUGAAUUCCUCUGGCACAGCACUUUGUGCAGGAUCCCCAGCCAGCCCUUCCUCCACCUCAUUUGAGUUGUUUCUUUCACCGUCUUUCCCAGGGUACCACAGGCCCCUUCAAGAUGGGACCACAUCUACGUCAGCUUCGUGUCCCUGGGUCCCCAGCCCAUAGAAGCAGUUUAAUAAAUGUUUGCUGAAUAAUUUAAUAUUCUGUGAUCUCUCCUACAGCUAGCUGGGAGCUAGUUCAGCGAAAACUUCUAAGGAUGGAAUUCAGAGAAACUAAAACCCCCCACUCUGACUUAGCUACCACGGUGCUAUAGAGGGAAACAUUAAAAAGAAAUGUUUUAAUGAUCAGAAUACACACGAGUGCUGAUGUCAGCAAUCACGGACCUAAUGGCACUGGUACUACGCUACUGCAUAUGUCCUGGUGUGUGGUUCCUCUUAAUUAUGGUGGCCGAGCCAAGCCUAAAAUUACCUAAUUAGUGAGAUCACUGGAAGUCUCCAUGAAAAGCUACAAUUAAAACCUGUGUACUCGUAAGGUGGAAUGGAGAAGAUUGCACACAACAGGGGAAAUGUUGGCUAGAUCCGAAAUCUAAAGCGUUCUCACCUCUCUUUAUGUAGACUUCCGUAUCUAGAGAGAAGCUGUGAGGGUAGGCAAGGAAGGCAGAAGCUCACCUGGGUCCAUGAGGCUAAGUUCUUUGAUGAUCCAGACACAUGAGUUUCCACAGGCUGAUUCACGCUGUACCUGGUGUGUCAACAGAAAAUGGUGACAUUAUCCAGCCCCUUUCCACGGACUUCUCUCUAACUCGUAAGCAUAGUUUGUAGCUUUUAUUCUGAGACAUUAAAUAGCAUCCAGAAAGGUGCUGUGGGUACAGAAUGCAACUGAGUGUGUGUUAACCAUUCACAUUUCACUUCUUCCUAAAGAAAAACACCUGGGGAGGCUGGGUGGCAAUGCCUCCUCUUGUGAAGAGUAACACGCAUCACUGAAAAUAUAUGCAGCUUUACAGAACGGAUAAGUCUUUCUGGAUUUCCACUGCAACACAGAUUUUGGCUAGUUCUCUUGCAUGGCUAUUGAACAUCAUGUAUCUUUUCAUUCUGUUGAGUUGCCUUAUGUUUGGCGUUCCUGGGUGCCCUUUGAAAUGUCAGGCCUCUGUAUGCAGUGUACCUAAGGGGAAAUUACUCCUAUUGUCGGCAGGGAUUUUCAUAGCAGAAGUCUGGCUGUUUCUCUUUUUUUUUUUUUAAAUGAAGUGACCUCCCUUGGACUUGAAUUCACUCAGAGAAGAAUUUGCUUACAUGUUAGUUCCCAGUUUCAGGACUCGGUCUCCAUAAAGUUCAAAAGAACCUUCUUUGGGUGCAGGGACAUAGUUUCCACCAUGCUUGAAUUCUAUCCUCUUCACUUCUUCACCUUUGUUGUUGAACAUUCUACAAUACAAAGUAUGACAUGAUGGAAUGUUCUCCAAGCUUAGGUAGUCCUGGAGGCUUCUUUAUUCUUUGUACUACAGAACAAAAAAGGAAUACAUGCUCUCCUUCAAGAUAAAGGUGCUGGUUGUAAUAAUAAUAAUAAUAAUACAAUAAUAAUAUUUAUUGAGCAUAUGUAUGUGCCAAUUGCUUUGUAAGCACGUUAGAGCACUAUUAUCUUAUUCAUCCACACAGUAACCAUUUAACAGAUGAGGAAAUUAGUCCUGGGGAACUGGGUAACUUGCCUCAAGUCCCUCUACUAAGUGACAAGGUGGGGAUUAGAACCUGACUUUUUCAAUAGCUGUUUUACUGAAGAAAGAGAAGGGCUGGGCAGACUGUGAGUGGCUUGGCAGUGCGGCAUUCCGUGUGCGGCCCAUGUGCUGAUUUCCUAGCACCCCAAACAUAGCUCUGAUCAUUGUUGGGAAUUCACCUGAUGAGUCCUGGAACUUCAGUUCCCCAAGGAACAGGCCCGGACACCGGCAACACAAAGCGACCGUUAUUAUUCUGAACUUUGUCCUUUAGAAACAUGGAUACCUGGAAAAAAAUACAUUUAUUGUCAUUUUUCUUGGUAUAUUUUCAUAGACAUCAAUAUUCUGAGGGUGGAAAGUGCGUAAUGGUUUGGGAACAUGACCUAUGAGUUUAUAACAAUAAGAAGGGAGAGGCUGGGCGCAGUGGAUCAUGCCUGUAAUCCCAGCACUUUGAGAGGCUGAGGCAGGCGGAUCAUGAGGUCAGGAGAUAGAGACUAUCCUGGCUAACACGGUGAAACCCUGUCUCUACUAAAAAUACAAAAAAUUAGCCGGGCGUGGUGGUGGGCACCUGCAGUCUCAGCUACUCAGGAGGCUGAGGCAGGAGAAUUGCUUGAACCUGGAAGGCAGAGGUUGCAGUGAGCCAAGAUCGUGCCAUUGCACUCCAGCCUGGGCGACAGAGUAAGACUUCAUCUCAAAAAAAUAAAAAAAUAAAAAAAAGAAGGGAGAAAAAAUUACACUUGCAGAGUUAACUGUAUUUUAACAAACAGAACUAUUUUUUUUUUUGAGAUAGGGACUCACUUUGUCACCCAGGCUGGAGUGCAGUGGCACGAUCUUGCCUCACUGCCACCUCAGCCCCGCCAGCUCACGCGAUUCUCCCGUCAUAGCCCCCAAGUAGCUGGGACCACAGGUGUGAGCCACUGUGCCCAGCUAAUUUUUAUAUUUUUUUGUAGAGAUGGGUUUUCGCCAUGUUGGCCAGGCUCAAAAUCCUAAGCCCAAGUGAUCUGCCUGCCUCGGCCUCCCAAAGUGCUGGGAUUACAGGCGUGAGCCACCGUGCUCGGCUACAAACAGAACUACUUUUGAGCAGCGCAGCAAACCUUCCAGGUGAGUCCUAUUACCCCCAUUUUAAAGACGAGAAAGCUAAAGUAGAGAGUGAAGUGACUUGCCCAAAGAGAGCUAAGAGGCAGGGCCAGGAUUCAAAACCAAAGGUGACUCCAAAUUCCACCCGUAUGCCUUGGUUCCCUGCCUACUUUCCAUGCAGCUGCAGGCCUUGAGCUGUAAGAACCUCAUAUGGCCACUUUCUACAUGAGGCAGCUCAGAGGUUAAGAUGCCUCCUCAAGGUCAGCCAGCUGGUAAGGGGCAGAGCUGAGGAUUCAAACUCCUGUGAUUCUGACUUUGGAGCCCGAACCUUAUCCACAUGCUGGACUAGAAAGAAGGAUGGGGCUGGGGCAGGGGGAUCCAGCUGACAUUUAAGUUUGAGGAUCUUUUAGGUGACUGAAAACACAUUACACUUAUUCCUUCUCCUGGGUUCGUGUACUCUGUAUAGAGGUUUCGGUCACUCACAGAUUAAAUCUCAUAAAGAUAGUAGCAGUUAAUCAGUUUUACUGGGUCUUGGCUUCCUUAUCUGUAAAAUAAGAGAUGAGCUUGAAGAUCUUUUCAACUCUAAUAUUCUAUAAGGUUAUAUUAGUAAUAUAAUCAAGAAUAAGUAUCUUAGGCUGGGUGUGGUGGCUUACGCCUGUAAUCCUAGCACUUUAGGAGGCUGAGGCGGGUGGAUCACCUGAGGUCAGGAGUUCGAGACCAGCCUGGCCAACAUGGUGAAACCCUGUGUUUAAUAAAAAUAAAAAAAUUACCAGGGUGUGGUGGCUCAUGCCUGUAAUCCCAGCUACUCACAAGGACAAGGCACGAGAAUCGCUUGAACCCCAGAGGUGGAGGUUGCAGUGAGCCGAGAUCAUGCCACUGCACUCCAGCCUGGGCAACAGAGCAAGACUCUGUCUCAAAAAAAAAAAAAAAAAUGGAAAGAAUAAGCAUUUGUUGUGUGCAAGGCAGUGAAAAUGCAAAGCGAUAAGAAUGUGUGAGCUGGCAGCUUGGCAUACUGAUGUUAGACUCUGAAGGCUUAAAUACUGGACGGGCCACUUCUGGGUUUUUGGGAAAUUACACAACCUUUCUGUGCAUCAGUUUUCCCUUUGGUAACCUGGGGGUAAUAAUAGUAAUAAUAAUAGAUAACUCGGUGGGUUACUGUGACAACUAAAUCAGACAGUGUAUAAAAAGUAAAGCCGGCUGGGUACAGUGGCUCACGCCAGUAAUCCCAGCACUUUGGGAGGCUGAGGCGGGAGGAUCAUGAGGUCAGGAGUUCAAGACCAGCCUGGCCAACAUGGUGAAACCCUGUCUCUACUAAAAAUACAAAAAAUUAGCUGGGUGUGGUGGCAUGUGCCUGUAAUCUGGCUACUCGGGAGGCUGAGGCAGGAGAAUCGCUUGAACCCAGGAGGUGGAGGUUGCAUUGAGCUGAGACCUUGUCACUGUAUUCCAGCCUGGGCAACAGAGCAAGACUCUAUCUGGAAAAAAAAAAAAAAAAGCAAAGGCUGACACAUAGACUAUGUGCUCAAUAAAUGGUAGCCAAUACUCUUAUUAUUACAAGUCUAUUUGGACACAGGACACAAGCAUAAAAUGGAGAAAAUAACACUUUAAAGCAGGACAUGCUACAUAGCAGGUGCAUAGAAGCUUGCUGAGGAGAAUGACUGCUGGCAUGCCGGGAGUCUGGGGGGAGGCAGGCGUGACUGUGGGUCUGGAGCUGAGCCUGGAGGAAGAAGGUAGGUGUAGAGACACUUCAGAGAUGGAGAUGAGCAGGUGUGAGUCACGUUUUCAGGGGAACAUGUAAACUGGUUUGGUCAGAGGGUUUGCUGGAUGACGUUUAAGACAUUUUUAACCUCAAGAUUCUGUGACCAAGGGAUGUGAGUACAAGAAAGGAGAAAGAAAAUUUAGAGGGAGAAUUGGGAAUAUUUAUAUGUGCUAGAAACUCUGUUAGUUUAAUCUUAUGAGGUUGACUAUGGCAUGGUAGAUCUGAAAUGUACAAAUUUAGGUCAUGUGUGUGUCUGUGUUUGGCCUGAGACUCUGCCAGUGGCUGGAGAGGACUGUUAGGUCUGUUUGCUUGCUCAGCCCCUCUGCUGGCCUUUUCUUCUCCCUCCACCCUUUCCUUUCCGAGGUGAUCUCGUCUCCUCCCAUACUCCAGGGCUCACCUCUGAGCUCAUGGCUCCCAGAUCUCAAGGUCCCACUCCAGCUCCUUCCCUGGCACUGACCCAUCCAUCCCAUUGCCUGUCACACAUUUCCAUCUAUGGGUCCCCUAGGAUGUACCUCAAAUUCCCCCUGCUCAGAACAGGGCCCAUCUUUGUCUCUUCCUCAACCCUUCAGUUGCCAAGCCUUUCCUCUCCACCCCAACUAUUGCUCCCUAUGCAGGCCUUCACUGUUUUCUGCCUGCCCCACUGCAGAAGCCUCCUGUCUGGUCUCCCUGCCUUCCUUCUCGCCUGCUGUAUUUUUUUAUUUUAAUUUUUUAAGGCAGCAUCUUGCUCUGUAGCCCAGGCUGUAGUGCAGUGGUGCGAUCUCGGCUCACUGCAACCUCUGCCUCCCGGGUUCAAGUGAUUCUCCUACCUCAGCCUCCUGAAUAGCCGGGACUACAGGCAUGUGCCACCACACCCAGCUAAUUUUUGUAUUCUUAGUAGGGACGGGGUUUCACCAUGUUGGCCAGGCUGGUCUCGAACUCCUGACCUCAAGUGAUCUGCCUGCCUCAGCCUCCCAAAGUGCUGGGAUUACAGGUGUGUGCCAUGGUGCCUGGCCUCUUUUUUUUUUUGAGAUGGAGUCUUGCUCUGUCGCCCAGGCUAGAGUACAGUGGCAUGAUCUCGGCUUACUGCAACCUCUGCUUCCUGGGUUCAAGCGAUUCUCCUGCCUCAGCCUCCCGAGUAGCUGGGAUUACAGGCGCCCGCCACCAUGCCUGGCUAAUUUUUGUAUUUUUUAGUAGAGAUGGGGUUUCACCAUCUUGGCCAGGCUGGUCUCGAACUCCUGACCUCAUGAUCCACCUGCCUUGGCCUCCCAAAGUGUUGGGAUUACAGGCGUGAGCCAUGGCGCCUGGCCUUUUUUUUUUUUUUUGACACAGAGUCUUGCUCUGUUGCAUAGACUGGAGUACAGUGAACAUGAUCAUAGCUUACUGCAGCCUUGAAAUCCUAGGCUCAAGGAAUCCUCCGGCCUUGGCCUCCCAAAGUGCUUGGAUUACAGGUAUGAGCCAUCACUCCCAGUCAGAAUAUUAUCACGCCCAGCUAAUUUUUGUAUUUUUAGUAGAGACGGGGUUUCACCAUGUUGGCCAGGAUGGUCUCGAUCUCUUGACCUUGUGAUCUGCCCGCCUUGGCCUCCCAAAGUGCUGGGAUUACAGGCGUGAGCCACUGCACCCAGCUGAAAGCCUUUUCAUUAUAAUGAAUUUUAUCUUGUCGGAACUGGGAAAUCAAUAUGGCUGUUUAUGUUACUACCAAUCCAUAAAAUAAUACCCAAAUAUGCAGCCCUGAUAACAAUAUGAUACAGAAUUUUUAAUAUUUCAAAAUUGUUAUUUUAAAUUUAAUGAAAAACUUAAUCUUAUUUGUACUUUCAUAUUUUUUAUUUUAAUCAAUGACAGAGAUCUUAAUUUAUAUUGAUGUUAUUAUUGCUUCAUCCAUAGCAAAUACAAUUCUUCAUGAGAGUUAAAAAUAAGGCCGGGCGCUGUGGCUCGCGCCUAUAAUUCCAGCACUUUGGGAGGCCGAGGCGGGUGGAUUGCCUGAGGUCAGGAGUUCAAGACCAGUCUGGCCAACGUGGUUAAACCCCGUCUCUACUAAAAAUACAAAAAAAUUAGCUGGAUGUGGCGGUGUGCACCUGUAAUCCCAGCUACUCGGGAGGCUGAGGCAGGGGAAUUGCUUGAACCAGGGAGGUGGAGGUUGCAGUGAGCUGAGAUGGUGCCACUGCACUCCAGCCUGGGCGACAGAGCCAGACUGCAUCUCAAAAAAAAAAAAAAAAAAAAAGAAAGAAAAAUUUGGCAUCAGAAUUGAAAUCUAUUUAUCUUCCUUUGUCCAUGGAAGGGAAAUACAAUAAGGCACUAAAUACAUUGCAUUUCUUCCCCUUUUUAAAAUUUUAUUUUGCCCAGGUACAAAACUCAAAGUUCUCAAAAGGGUAUACAUAAUGGAAAGUCAGUCUCCUUCUCCUGUCCUCCAUAUAGUUCCCCACUCCUGGAAGGCAACACUGUGCACUGUGAACAGUUUCUUGCAUAUGCUUCCAGAAGCACUCUCUCUGUAUAUGCACAAACAAAUACAUAUAUGUUACAUAUGCUGUUUCAGUUAAUCCAACAAAAUUAGGUAUUAUAAUUUUCAUUUUUCAGAUGAAGAAACUAAGACUUAAGAGAAGUUAUUUUGCCCAAGGUCAUGGAGCUAGUCCUAUAGUUGGGAUUCAUUUUCUUAAUUAAAAAUUGUUUUAUUUUGGCUGGGCAUGGUGGCUCAUGCCUGUAAUCCCAGCACUUUGGGAGGCUGAGGCGGGCGGAUCGCCUGAGGUCAAGAAUUUGAGACCAGCCUGGCUAACAUGGUGAAACCCCAUCUCUACUAAAAAUACAAAAAUUAGCCAGGCGUGUUGGCAGGCGCCUGUAAUCUCAGCUGUUUGGGAGGCUGAGGCAGGAGAAUUGCUUGAACCCGGGAGGUGGAGGUUGCAGUAAGCCGAGAUUGUGCCACUGCAUUCCAGACAGAGUGAGACUCUGUCUCAAAAACAAAACAUUUUAUUUUAAGGACAGAGUCUCACUAUGUUGCCCAGGAUGGUCUUGAACUCCUGGGCUGAAGUGAUCCUCCUGCCUCAAUAUCCCAAGUAGUUCAGACUACAGGCACUCGCCACUGUGGCCAGCUCUGGAGUUGAGAUUCAAAGAGAAAGGUGAAGCUGGGCACAGUGGCUCACACUUGUAAUCCCAGCACUUUGAGAGGCCAAGGCAGGCAGAUUGCUUGAGCUCAGGAGUUCAAGACCAACCUGGGCAACAAAGCAAGAUUCUGUCUCUACAAAAAAUACAAAAAAUUAGCCAGGCGUGGUGGCAUGCUCCUGUAGUCCCAGUUACUCGAGAGGCUGAGGUGGAAGGUCACUUGAGCCCAGGAGAUUGAGGCUGCAGUGAGCCAUGAUUGUGCCACCAUACUCCAGUCUGGGCAACAAAAUGAGAACCUGUCUCAAAAAAAAAAAAAAAGAGAAACAUGUCUGGCUCCAGAGCCUGGGCUUGUUUUACCAUAUCAUACCAUCUUUCCCACAUCAGUUGGUUAAAUUGUGGCAGGAAACAAAGCCCUGUCCAAGAGAGACACAUUCAAAAUUCAGAAGCUUAGAAUUUUUUUUUUUUUUUUUUUUUUUUUGAGACAUGGUCUCGCUCUGACACCUGGUCUGAAUCAUGGAUCCACCAUGGCUCACUGCAGCCAUCCUCCCAUUUCAGCCUCCUAACUGGGACUAUAGGCAUGCGCCACCAUGCCUGGCUAAUUUUUGUUUUUGUAGAGAUGGGGUUUUACCAUGUUGCCGAGGCUUCAGAAAUGUGUUUUUAUUUUAUUUUUAUUUAUUUAUUUAUUUUUUUGAGACAGGGUCUCAGCCCAGGCUGGAGCACAGUAGCAUGAUUUUUUUUUUUUUUUUGAGAUGGAGUCUUGCUCUGUCGCCCAGGCUAGAGUGCAGUGGCACUAACUCAGCUCACUGCAACCUCUGCCUCUCAGGUUCACGCGAUUCUCCUGCCUUAGUCUCCCGAGUAGCUGGGAUUAAAGGCGCCUGGCUAAUUUUUGUAUUUUUAGUAGAGACGGGGUUUCACCAUGUUGGCCAGGCUGGUCUCAAACUCCUGACCACGUGAUCCACCCGCCUCGGCCUCCCAAAGUGCUGGGAUUACAGGCGUGAGCCACUGCGCCCAGCCUAGUAGCAUGAUCUUGGCUCUCUGCAGCCUUGACCUCCUGGGCUCAAGUGAUCCUCCUACCUCAGCCUCCCAAAUAUCUGGGAAUACAGACACGCACCACCUUGCCCAGUUAAUUUUGUAUUUUUGGUAGAGAUGGGGUUUGUCAUGUUGCCCAGGCUGGUCUCAAACUCCUGGGCUCAAGUGAUCCGUCCACCUUGGCCUCCCAAAGUGCUAGGAUUACAGGCAUGAGCCACUGUGCCUGGCUAGAAAAUGUGUUUUUAAAAGUUAGGAUGUAGAAUUGCCUAGCUAUGUAGGCAAGGCAGGAGGAGAGGGGCCCAGUUGGGAAGCAUAGCCCACAAGAGUAUGAGGGCCUGAGCCAGGAUGGUGGCAACAGGGAUGGAGAGGAAGGCGUGCCAGGGCAUGGUGGCUCACACCUAUAAUCCUAGCACUUUGAGAGGCUGAGGGAGGAGGAUCAUUUGAGCCCAAAAGUUAGAGACCAGCCUGGGAAACAUAGUAAGACACUGCCUCAAAAAAAAAGGAAAAGAGGGUGUAGAUAUUGACAAGGCCGACUCUAUUUUUGUUUGUUUGUUUGUUUUUGAGACGGAGUCUCCCUCUGUCGCCCAAGCUGGAGUGCAGUGGUGCGAUCCCGGCUCACUGUAACCUCCGCCUCCUGGGUUCAAGCAAUUCUCCUGCCUCAGCCUCCUGAGUAGCUGGGACUACAGGUGCUUGCCACCAUGCCCGGCUCACUUUUGUAUUUUUAGUAGAGAUGGGGUUUUACCAUGUUGGCCAGGCUGGUCUCAAACUCCUGACCUCAGGUGAUCUGCCCACCUUGUCCUCCCAAUGUGCUGGGAUUACAGGCGUGAGCCACUGCGCUCCGCCGACUCUAUGGGUCUUAGAAGCAAUUGGAUGAAGAUCAGGGAAGGGGAAUCAAAGGUGACAUUCUGGUUCUGAGUCAAGUGAGUAGGAGAAUGGUGGUGGUGCCCUCAAAAGAAAUGAGAAAGUCAGGGCAGCACCUGAACUGUGGAGAUUAGUUUAGCUACAGACAGCAAGUUGUAGGCACUGGUGGGCAUCCUGGUGGGAAGUUUCAGCAAGGUGGUGGAGAUGUGAGUCUGGAGGGCAGGGGUGGGGCCAGGGUAGAGUAGAGGUUAGACUCAGGAGUCACAGGCAGAGGAGUUGGUAGACAAAAGGGUGAGGAAGGAGAUGCCUAAUUAGCAGGAGGUGGGUAGAGACAGGAGUAAGGUUUGGAGACAGAUGGCGGGAGAGGAAGGAGUAAGAGGCAUUGAGAUGGGAGAGGGAAGGGAAGGGAAGCCCAGGAUGGUACAGAGCCAUGAAAGACCUGGAAAGGUGAGAGUUCCAUGGAGGAGGGGCAGCCUUCUGACAGUGUCAGUACUGGAGAGGUCAAGGAGGAUACAGCUCAACAAAAGGUUUUGCAGUUGAGAUCAGGCUGUUGACUUGACAGCAUAUUUCCUCUGGAGAAGUAACAGAAGAAACUAUAUUUCCAAGAAACUCACAAGGUAAUCAAAAAAGAAUGGCAGCAUCACUGUCUUCCUUGGUCCAUUUAAAAACUGCUGAGAUGUAUUAUCAAUAUCUUUAUCAUUAGAGAGGCAAACCCUGAGGACAUCACUAACUGGGCAAAAUCUCCGUCCUUGUUUGCCCUCAUGACUACCAGGGUUGUUUCCCUGGUACAGCAGCUCCUGAGUGUUCCCAGGGCUGCCUAUUGACUUACUCGGAUGUGCAGGUCUUGGAAGAAGAUGAGGAGUGUCUGCCGGAUCAGCUGGAACUCCCCUGCAGAGAGACCACCAUAUAUCUGCCAAAGGCAAGCAGAAAGCAGCACUUCACUUUCCAAGAGGGAUGAGUAGUACGCACCGGCAGGGCAGAUGGGUACUCAGGGAUGGGAGCCAGAUAGGUAAGGAGAGGACUGGGCUGCUGGGCAGGAGGGGCAGCGGGGAGACCAGCAGUGCUGCCUCUCCACGGUGACAAAGCCUGUUACCCCACACCUGAGCAGGGGUACACUUCCUGUCUCCCAUUCUCCACAGACCUGGAGAGCCUGUUCCCCAAGAUUUAGCAGAACAUCCACCACCAAGUCCCUUUCCGAAAAGUGAGGAGAAAAUGGCUAUGCUCUGUAUAUUGCUUUUCCAAUUGUGAAGGCAUCAGUAAGAGGACAUAAGAUGAUGAUGCCUGUUACAUUACCAAAAUGGACACGGAUUGCUUUUCAGAAUGUUCUGGGAGAGUGGCAGGCUUUGCCAUUCCUCAUCCUGUUCUCUCUGUCAUAGAUCUACCUGUUCUUAACAGAGGGAUGAGAAAAAGUACUGGGGCUGAGAGGCGAGACACUGAUGGCACUCUUACUUCUGUCAGCUGCCGCAAAGUCUCGUCCACUUGCUGCAGGAUGGUUGGGGAGUCUCGGAUGAAUCCCUUGAUGGUAUCCAAGUGAUUGAAAGUGACCAGCAGCACAUCCUUGGGUCGGGGACACAGCAAUACUUGAUAUUUGAAAGCCAUGGUCAUCAGGUCAUAGAGCUGCCAACCCACACACAAGCAAAAGAAAUGGGAUCAUAUCAAAAUCAGGUGUGAGAAUCUCCAAACAGUGAUUCAGUCAAGCAUUUACUGAAAACCAACUCUGGGCUUGCCAUACAGCUCGGGGGACCAUAUCACUUAUCACCCAAACCAAGACACUUCUGAGAGUCAAGGCGGGUGCUUUUAAUAAUUAAGCCAGGAAAACAGGAGUAAGCCAGCACAUUCCUGGGCAAACCAGGAUUUCUGGUCACCUGAUGUGUAUUGUUAAUGGGAUACGUCUGAAAUAAUAUUGGCAGCAGCGGAGUCCCAAAGUGAGCACUGGAUCUGGAGAAAGAAAAUGCAAAUUUAAGUACUCCUUUCCUCCUAACUUAUUGUAUAACCUUGGCCAAGUUUCUUAACCUCUUUGGGCCUGAGUUUUCUCAUCUGUAAAAAAAUACUCUCUAAUUUCCCAAUGUUGCAGAGGUGCUGAGAGCAAUAAAUGAGGCAAUAUGUGUGCAAGUGGCAAGCAUAGAGUUCUACAACUUUAUAAGAAUCAUUUUAAAUGAUGAACUAUGUGGAUAUCAACAAGCCAUCUCCACAUAGGUGUGGUAUGACCAUACAUGAAAGAUCAGAAGGGAGGAACUGGUGGGGACCAAAGUGGUGAAGGCAGGCUUUGUGGUACAAGUGGCCUUAUAUAGCCCUCGAGGCAGCUGCAGGAUUUAAAUUGGCUGAGGGCAGAGGAAAGACAUUCCAGUUGAGGGAAACAGUACAUGUGAGGGCCUGGAGGCAGCAAUGAGUAUGUUAUUUUUCUGGGAGAAAGAGGAGAAUGGCCUGAGGACAGUUUGUGUUGGGGAUGGCAGGUAAUAAAGCUGGGUAAGUAUGGCAAAUGAAGAUGGCAACAAUAGAAACUGGGGACUGCAAGAAUGGGGAGGGAGGGAGGGAGGUAGGGGUCAAGGGCUGAAAAACUAACUAUUGGGUACUAUGCUGACUACCUGACUGAUGGGCUCACUUGUACCCCAGACCUCAGGAUCACGCAAUAUACCCAUGUAACAAACCUGUGCAUGUACCUCCUGAAUAUAAAAUAAAAGCUGAAUUAUUAAAAAUAGAAUAAAGUUUUUGGGGAGAUACACAAUAUAAUUUAGACUAGAUGUAGUAGAAGUUAGGGGGUUAAAGUUUUCUGGGCUGACAUGAUCAAAGUGGUGACUGAACGAGAUCUGGCAAUGAUGAGCUGUGACAGAAGGGAGAGACUAGUUAGGGGGAGUAGCUAGCACCUGGUUCCUGAAAAGAUUACAAUAAAUAUCUACUGAUUGCAUGAAUGAAAGAAAUGUUGUUGGAGCAAUCCAGACUUAAGGCCUGGAAAAAAGAUAGUGGGAACGGAGAAGUCAGGGAAAGGAAGAUCACGCGAUAUUUAGAAGGAAAAGCUGUCAGUAGGUGGUGACUGCCUAGAUUUGGGGGAUGAUGAUCAGGGUUGUCCAGAAGGACUGCACCUUUUCAGCCUAGUGCGGGUGGGGAGGGAUGAUGCUAUUGAUGGAGGAAAAGACGUCUGAGGGAUGUGGGAGCGGAAGAGCCAGGAGAGAAGAUGGACGGUUAACUUAAGGACAUGUCUGGGGCAGGAUUGAAACGAUAAACAACUACCAUCUGAGUGUCAUGCCAAGCACGUGUAUAUAUAUUACCUCAUUUGAUCCCAUUUAUUCUUCACAAGAACUCUAUGAGGUAGGUAUUAGCCCAGUUUAAUAAUGAGGAAACUUGCCUAAUUUCAUAUUGCUGGUAAGUGCAGAAUGAUAUUUGACCUCAAGACUAUCAGAUUCUAAGGCACUUGCCAGGACCCUGCUACACAAUCCCAUUUCUCCUACCUGCAGCCAAACAUUUCCACUUAGAAGGUGGCAUACAACCAGAAUAGCUAGCCAGAUGCAGUGGCUCACGCCUGUUAUCCCAGCACUUUGGGAGGCCGAGGUGGGUGGAUCACCUGAGGUCAGGAGUUCGAGACCAGCCUGGCCAACAUGUUGAAACCCCAUCUCUACUAAAAAUACAAAAAUUAGCCGGGUGUGGUGGUGCGUGCCUGUAAUCUCAGCUACUCAGGAGGCUGAGACAGGAGAAUUGCUUGAACCUGGGAGGCAGAGGUUGCAGUGAGCCGAGUUAGUGCCACUGCACUCUAGCCUGGGUGACAGAGUGAGACUUUGUCUCAAAAAAAAAAAAAAAAAAAAAAGAAAUUAAAACAAGCCCCAGAAAACAGGAAUAGCCUGGUGUGUGUGCAUGGGGAUUGGGAAAGUACAAUACUGGAGAUACAGAUUUGAGACUCUGCCAUCAUUGUCAAACAUUAAGUGCUCGUAUAUAGGAAACCAUGCUAGAAAUAAAGAAUAAAAACAGGUAUAAGAUGAAGGAAUGCCAGUUCAGAGUAAUUCAGUAAAUUGGGUCUCACAGCUAGUAACUGGU
rnacentral:lncRNA from 1 species